UCGGAGUCGACUUUUAGUACAUCGGGACGUGUGCUUGACGGCUUUCGAAGUUCUUUGACUCCUAGAGUGGUGGAAGGUUUGAUUUGCACUCAAGAUUGAUUGAGAGCCGUUCGCGUGCCAAUUAAUGUUGAAGAGUGCAUUGAGAAUGUGGAAAAGUUUGAGUCAGAUUUGGAUUGUCUUACCGAGGACAUUAUCAUUGGUAAAUAGACUUCCUUUUGUGAAAGCUCCGAUUUUGUGGAUUUUUCUUAGAGAUUGAACCCAUUGAAGGUAACAUAGCUGGAUUCAGGCCACCUCCAAAAGUUGGAGCUUUUUGUCCUCUCGUAAGGCAGGGAAGGAUGCUGGAGCUUUUUGUCCACUUCUUUUUAAUUCUUAUGGCAUGGGACAAUUGUUUAUCAGAUUCUGAUGUGUGGAUCGGAGCCUUCGGAUUUUUGGAAACAGAAGUGAGGAGUUCUCUCGUCAUGGCGCAAAAUAAAGAGCUAAACAUGUUGAACAGAUUCCUGGAAAUGUGACUCUUAAAGAUUUAAGCGAUUAGACUAU